rnacentral:rRNA from 1 species
UACGAAGGGGGCGAGCGUUGUUCGGAGUUCCUGGGCGUAAAGGGCGCGUAGGCGGCGAUCCAAGUUAGGCGUGAAAGCCCCGGGCUUAACCUGGGAAUUGCGCUUAAGACUGGACUGCUUGAGUGCGGGAGAGGUGAGUGGAAUUCCCAGUGUAGAGGUGAAAUUCGUAGAUAUUGGGAAGAACACCAGUGGCGAAGGCGGCUCACUGGCCCGCAACUGACGCUGAGGCGCGAAAGCGUGGGGAGCAAACAGG